ACAACAGAAUAAUUGUAAAGAUUGUACCAGCAGUAGUAGCAAUGAUAGAAAUACAUAGUAUAUAAAUACAAAGUAGUAGUAGUGAUGGUAACAGUAUUUCUCACGGGAGUGGUGGUAAGUGCAGUGGUUCAGCGAGCGAGUGAGCAAAUUAAGGUCAGAUAGGCUUGGACUAAAAAAAACAUUGAUAUUGAAUGCAAGCCAUUACAAAGAAGAUGGUUUCGGAGUUAAAUGUGUCUGUUUGGUGGCCUUCGUCGACACUAUUCCUGGUUCUUUUACUGUCUUCAACAAGUUUAUCCUGGGACGUUACAGCAUUUCGGACAGGCAUCUCUAGCGGUCCGUACAAACCCGAUUGGAAAUCUCUUGACACACGUCCCAUACCAAAAUGGUACGACGAGGCCAAAAUCGGCAUCUUCCUACAUUGGGGUGUGUUUUCUGUGCCCAGUUUUGGCUCUGAGUGGUUCUGGUGGUAUCUUGAUGGGGUUCGGUCCCCAAGAUUUGUGAAAUUUAUGAAGGACAAUUAUAGGCCAGACUUCACCUACCAGGAUUUUGCUCCGAUGUUCACCACAGAGUUCUUCAACCCAAACCAGUGGGCAGAAAUAUUUACCAAAUCCGGUGCCAGGUUGUUGUUUAUUUUUGUUUUAUUUUUUGUUUCACUUGUUGAAUGUUGUUGUUGUUGUUGUUGCUGCUGUUCUUGUUUAUUCUCCUGAUCUAACACAAGUAUGAUAUUUGCCCCAGUUAUUCGCAAAAUGAACCCCCAGCCCUCUGGCGAGCUUUCGUUACAAGAACACACGACUGCUAGUUCCAAACCACGUGUGUUUAUUUACAUUUGUGAAGGUGAUCGUGGAUUUUCGUAGAAAAUUCUUAUCGUUGUUUCGUAAAGGGUUGGGAGGAAAUGGGAUCUUGGUACUACUUAAGAAGAGUGGUCCCGGUGCGCACACUCGCGUACUCGCGCAUCUGUGCUAGCUAGUCGUGACUAGUCGAUCCUUUGUGUUUUGUGUUUUAUUUACUUUGUUUAAAAAAAUUGGAUCUUUUCCUUUUGAACGGCAGUAGAGCAUAGGAUUGGUUAAAAUUCGAAAAAUUAAACUACGUUAAACAAAUGAAUUACAAUUUUAUCAAUAAAGCCAAGAUAAAAAAAUGUUUUAUUUUGACACAUUCUACCAGUAUACGAAGUUUUAAAGUGUUUAGUUAACUAGAAAUUGUCUGCCGUUCAAAAGGAAAAGAUCCCAAAAAAUUAUCUAUUUUGUGUUUUAUUUACUUUGCUAGGUAGUCGUUGUAGGAUCGACUAGUCACGACUAGCUAGUGCGGAUGCGCGAGUGCGCGCACCGGGACCAUUCUUCUUAAGUAGUACCUGGGGGUCUUUGGAAGUCGGCGUGAAAGUGAAAGAGACAGAGAGAGCGCGAUUGUAUGAGGGAAGUUGAACUUGGCGUGAAUCGGAAGAACUGAUGUGCGUGUGUGUGUUUAUGCUUGUGCCUGUGUAUGUGUGUGUGUUUGUGUGUACAGGCCUGUGUGUGCAAAACGAAACUAAAAUGAAAGAUUCCAAGUUCCAAACGCCUCUGCAUCCAAGGGCUUCCUGGUUCACGCAAACAAGAAUUGGAUUAGGGGCCUGUAUUUAUUUAUAUAAUACAUUUCAAAACAAACAAUAUAAACGAAAAAUAAAUGAAUAAAAACGUAUCUAUGAAUCUGAUCAUGAAAUCGCCAACAAACAUAAAACAGAUAAAACGAGGGAAAGAAAAAGUUAGCAGCAGGAACGAAAUUGUAGACACACAGACACACAGACGGAAUGCCAACUUUAAAAGAAGUUCCCCGAUCCAAUCGCUCUCUCUCUGUCUCACUUUUACGCUAACUUUGAAAGAUACCCUUUCCCCUGUCUCACCCCUCGUAUAUAAUAAAAUAAACAGCUAUAAGUUGUUUUACCAAUUUAUAUUCGUGCUUUUUAAUAAUUACUGGUAUCCUUAUCUUAAAUACUCUUUACUCUUUUACUUGUUUCAGUCAUUUGACUGCGGUCAUGCUGGAGCACCGCCUUUAGUCGAGCAAAUCGACCCCAGGACUUAUUCUUUGUAAGCCUAGUACUUAUUCUAUCGGUCACUUUUGCCGAACUGUUAAGUUACGGGAACAUGAACACACCGGCAUCGGUUGUCAAGCGAUGUUGGGAGGACAAACACAGACACACAAACACGCACACAUAUAUAUCAUCAUCAUCAUCAUCAUCAUCGGGGUCUGGGAAGCCAGGGGCUGCACCAGGCUCAUAUAUAUAUAUAUAUAUAUAUAUAUAUAUUAUAUGUUACUGAUGCAUUUAGCCCCAGGCGACUAUAGACGUCACCAGAAGAGCCGACACCAACCGUGAUGGUGUCGGCUCUCCUGGUGACGUCUAUAGUCACCUGGGGCUAAAUGCAUCAGUAACACCCCCACCACCCCGCCCUGUCCCUAGCCACAUUCAGAUGGCUGGUCCCGCUUACAUUACAGAGCAGUAUAUAUACAUAUAUGUAUAUACAUAUACACGACAGGCUUCUCUCUGUUUCCUUCUACCAAAUCCACUCAUAAGGCUUUGGUCGGCCCGAGGCUAUAGUAGAAGACACUUUCCCGAGGUGCCACGCAGUGGGACUGAACCCAGAACCAUGUGGUUGGUAACAAGCUACUUAUCACACAGCCACUCCUGCACCUAUGCAUAGAAUAAUAUGCUAUAUGUAUGUUAGUUUAAUAUAAUUAUCAGUUUAAUAAAUAAAUAAGUUAACAUUUUUAAUGUCUUAAAGUUGAUGAUCCAACUAUUGUUCUCUUCCAUUUCUUAUUUGCAAUAUAAAUUAAUGGUAAAAUAUCUCUUUGCCUUCACCCAUUUAGUACACUUAGUAAUGUAAUUGCAAUGCAAUAAAAAAAAAAACACUUGUGUAUUAAUAAUUGGGUAUUAUACCAACAGUAUAUUGGAUAGAUAUUAUCCCUUAGUGGGUUGGAUUCACAACUCCUAACAUUUCUUGGAGUUAUAUAUAUAUAUAUAUAUCUAUAUAUAUAUAUAUAUAUAUAUAUGUAUGUAUAUAUAUAUAUAUAUAUAUAUAUAUAUACAUACAUAGCAAAUAUAUAUAUGGCACACGAGUGGCUGUGUGGUAAGUAGCUUGCUUACCAACCACAUGGUUCCGAGUUGAGUCCCACUGCAUGGCACCUUAGACAAGUGUCUUCUACUAUAGCCUCAGGCUGACCAAAGCCUUGUGAGUGGAUUUGGUAGAUGGAAACUGAAAGAAGCCUGUCGUAUAUCAUCAUCGUUUAGCGUCCACUUCCCAUGGACGGUUCAACUGAGGUCUGGGAAGCCAAAAGGCUGCACCGGGCCCAGUAUGAUCUGGCAAUGUUUCUACGGCUGGAUGUCCAUCCUAAAGCCAACCACUCUAUGAGUGUAGUGGGUGCUUUUUACGUGCCACUGGCACAGGUGCCAGACGAGUCUGGCAAACGGCCACGAUCGGAUGGUGCUUUUUAUGUUCCACCGGCACGGGGGCCAGGCGAGGCUGGUAACGGCCACGAACGGAUGGUGCUUUUUACGUGCCACCGACAUGAGGCCAGUCGGGGCGGCACUGGCAACGGCCACGUUCGGAUGGUUCUCUUACAUGCCACCGGCACUGGUAUCUCAGCUGCAAUUUCCAUUGAUCGAUUUCAAUUCUGAUUCUCACUUGCCUCAACAGGUCUUCACAAGUAGAGUUUUGUGUCCCAAGAAGGGAAGGUAUGCAUAAAUGGACUGGCUACAUCCCGUGUAGAAGGCCACUGGUUAUGGUCUCACUUGUCCUGCCGGGUCUUCUCACGCACAGCAUACUUCCAGAGGUCUCGGUCUCUAGUCAUUUCCUCAGUGAGACCUAAAGUUCGAAGGUCGUGCUUCACCACCUCGUCCCAGGUUUUCCUGGGUCUGCCUCUUCCACAGGUUCCCUCAACCGCUAGGGUGUGGCACUUUUUCACACAACUAUCUUCAUCCAUUCUCACCACAUGACCAUACCAGCACAAACGUCUCUCUUGCACACCACAUCUGAUGCUUCUUAGGUCCAGCUUUUCUCUCAAAGUACUUACACUCUGUUGAGUAUGAACACUGACAUUGCACAUCCAUCGGAGCAUACUGGCUUCAUUUCUUGUGAGCUUACGCAUAUCCUCAGCAGUCACGGCCCAUGUUUCACUGUCAUGUAGCAUGGCUGUUCGUACACACGCGUCAUACAUGUAUAUAUAUGUAUGUGUUUGUCCCCCCAACAUUGCUUAACAACCAAUGCUGCUGUUUUUAUGUCCCCAUAACAUAGUGGUUCGACAAAAGAGAACGAUAGAAUAAGUACUAGGCUUACAAAGAAUAAGUCCUGGGGUCGAUUUGCUCGACUAAAGGUGGUGCUCCAGCAUGGCCACUGUCAAAUGACUGAAACAAGUAAAAGAGUAAAAGAGUAUAUAUAUAUAUAUAUAUAUAUAGCAAAUGAAAGACAGAAGAUGGAAUAUAUGAGAAUUUAUUGUUAAUCAUGACAAUUGUUUCGACACAUCUAGCAUCGAUUCGUCUUGGGUCGGACAUUCAACAACUGGUUCAGGAGCAUCCGGUGUGGUGCAGAUGGAUCUCAUCGGGUGAUAGAUAAAUAUAACUCGUUAAAAUGACUGUUCUGCAAUGUAACUUUCAGUUUUGUAGAGAGAAAAGCAAUUCAGUGAAGGAGAAGUAGUGAGAGUAAUAGCCCUGACUGAGAGGGAGUGAGAGAAAGGAAGGGGUGAUGGAUGAAUAACAAAGGAAGGGGUGGUGAAAAAAAAUCAGUGUUCUAUCUUCAUUUAUAUAGAAGAUCAAAGAUAAAAUCACAGAUGGCAAAAAGAGAAACGAACAUGUUUGCCCCCCUCACCACUUGACAACUGGUGUUGGUUUAUUUGCAUCCCCAUAACUUAGCAGUUUGGCAAAAGAGACUGAAAGAAUAAGUACCUGAUUUAAAAAGGAAAAUAAUUACUGGAGUUGAUUAAACACUUCAAGGCAGUGUUCCAGCAUGGUCGUAGUUCAGUGAGUGGCUGAAACAAUGAAAAGAAGAUAAUUAAUUAAUUUAUUGAUUAACUCUUAAAUAACAGACAUCAAUUGAUUUUUCAAAAAUUUUGCAUGGUUUCAGCACUCAUCAAAAGAAAGUCAAUAUUUUAUGGCACUUUUCAAUAAUCAUCAUCAUCAUCAUCAUCGUUUAACGUCCGUUUUCCAUGCUAGCAUGGGUUGGACGGUGCAACUGGGGUCUGGGAAGCCAGAAGGCUGCACCAGGCCCAGUCUGAUCUGGCAGUGUUUCUACAGCUGGAUGCCCUUCCUAACGCCAACCACUCCGUGAAUGUAGUGGGUGCUUUUUACGUGCCACCUGCACAGGUGCCAGACGAGGCUGGCAAACGCCCACGAUCGGAUGGUGCUUUUUAUGUGCCACCGGCACGGGGCCAGACAAGGCUGGCAACAGCCACAAUCGGAUGGUGCAUUUUACGUGCCACCGGCACGGAGGCCAGUCGGGGUGGCGCUGGCAAUGGCCGUGUUCGGAUGGUUCUCUUACAUGCCAUCGGCACUGGUAUCACAGCUACAAUUUCCAUUGAUGUUGAUCGAUUUUGAUUUUGAUUUUGAUUUUCACUUGCCUCAACAGGUCUUCACAAGUACAACAGGUCUUGAAAUUGUAAAUUUAAUUGUGCAUGUGACUAACAAUAACACAGGUUUGGCAAAAUGGAACUUUCUGGAAAUUGUUUUGAUAAUUGUAUGUUACUUUAUAAAUUUUUGUGGUGCUCAUUUGAAAUAUGGAAAAAGCCCUUUCCCAUGACCUAAGGUCUUCUCACAUGGGAGAUUUGGAUAAACACUGUUUUUUACACUCUUCAAAACUGUGUUCCUGUACCUUACAUAACCAAAAGUAGCAGUCAUCCCUGAAACCUCAAAACAAAAAGACUUCUUUGUAUAUUUUGUCCAUUGUCGCAGUUCUUGAACACAAUCUGAGGAGGACUUAUUGAGGCACUCACUUCUUAUCUUACACAUCAAAAUAGGCAUAGUAAGAUAUUUUGACAAAUUUGGUAAGGUUUCUCUGACAUUUCUUAGUCAUAAAUUCACCACAAAUGCAACAAAAGCUAUCUGGGCUUGCUUCACAACUUCUAGAAGACAUCCCUGAUCUAAAUGAUGUGGAGGUCUGUAAGGAAAUGUGUAAGGGACAUUUUUAACUGCAUAUAUUUGAUUUAAGGCGGGGAGCUGGCAGAAACGUUAGCAAGCCGGACGAAAUGCGUAGCCGUAUUUCAUCUGCCGUUACGUUCCGAGUUCAAAUUCCGCCGAGGUCGACUUUGCCUUUCAUCCUCUCGGGAUUGAUAAAUAAAGUACCAGUUUCACACUGGGUCGAUGUAAUCGACUUAAUCCCUUUGUCUGUCCUUGUUUGUCCCCUCUAUGUUUAGCCCCUUGUGGGUAGUAAUGAAAUAUAUAUUUGAUUUACCAUCUAAAUGUAUAGAUAAUAUCAUUAAAAAUGCAUUGAAAUGUAGUAUAUGAUACAAUAAAACAAUAUAUGUAGUAUAUAUACUCACUAAAAAAGGCAUGAAGAAAUAACUUAGAUAUAAAACGGAUGCAUUUUAACCUGAGCAACCUUGUAAAGUGUAUCUUUCUCUCUUCACUGCUUGCAGCUGACCAAAGCUACAGUGAAGCAAGCACUCUCUCUGUGUAGCAGAAGCAGGCUAAAUGUUGCCAAAUGCUUAUUUUUUAAAAAUUACACCUAUUAGUUAUAAUGUUAAGGUCUAUUUAAAUAUGGCAAUUAAUAGUAAUAAUUAAAAGACAAUAGUCACAUUCAGGAAUAAUGGUAAGAUGAAAUGAUUGAUUUUGUGAAGUAAUUGGAUAAUUUCUAUGUAAUUUUUGAAAAAGAGAUUUUUUUGUUUGUUUUUUGCUCGUUUGGCACACACCUUCAUGCAACUCUUUCCUGCUGUUUAAGGGUUAAUUAAUUAUUUUUUUCUAAAUUCUUUCGUUAGGUAUGUUGUUCUAACAAGCAAACACCAUGAAGGAUUCACCAACUGGCCAUCUAAAUACUCCUGGAAUUGGAACUCAAAAGCUGUGGGCCCAAAACGAGACCUUGUUGGUUAGUUUAUAUUUUCCUGAAAAUCUUCAAUUCUACCCUCUGCCUCCGCCUCAUCGUCGUGAUGAUGAUGAUGAUGAUGAUGAUGAUCAUCAUCAUCAUCAUUCCCCUUCACUCUCCCCAUUCCUCACUCCCAUUGGUAUAUUCUUCAUGCUCACACUGGCAUAUUUAUUUCUUAUUUCUUUAUUGCCCACAAGGGGCUAAACAGAGAGGGGACAAACAAGGACAGACAAAAGGGAUUAAGUCGAUUACAUCAACCCCAGUGCGUAACUGGUACUUUAAUUUAUCGACCCUGAAAGGAUGAAAGGCAAAGUCGACCUUGGUGGAAUUUGAACUCAGAACAUAACGGCAGACAAAAUACCUAUUUCUUUACUGCCCACAAGGGGCUAAACACAGAGAGGACAAACAAGGACAGACAAACGGAUUAAGUCGAUUAUAUCGACCCCAGUGCAUAACUGGUACUUAUCUAAUCGAUCCCAAAAGGAUGAAAGGCAAAGUUAACCUCGGCGGAAUUUGAACUCAGAACGUAACGACAGACGAAAUACCUAUUUCUUUACUACCCGCAAGGGGCUAAACAGAGAGGGGACAAACAAGGACAGACAAAAGGAUUAAGUCGAUUAUAUCGACCCCAGUGCGUAACUGGUACUUAUUUAAUUGACCCCAAAAGGAUGAAAGGCAAAGUUGACCUCGGCGGAAUUUGAACUCAGAACAUAACGGCAGACGAAAUACCGAUAAGCGUUUCUCCCAGCAUGCUAACGCUUCUGCCAGCUCGCUGCCUUUUUUAUUCCUAUCACUCCUUACACCCCACAACCACCACCACUACCUAACAAAACAAUUAAAGGUGACUUCUUUUUCUGUCCCUCAUCCUUCAGGUGAACUUGCAGCUGCCAUCAAGAAGACUCCAAUCCAUUUUGGUUUGUACCAUUCUCUCUUUGAAUGGUUCAAUCCUCUCUUUCUACAAGACAAAGCCAACAAUUUUACAACCCAAAAGUUUGUUAGGGUAAGUUCAGACCCAUUCUUGCUUAUCUUUCUCUGUCCAUCUGUCUGUUUGUUAGUCUGCCUCUCUCUUAAUGCAUGUCUUUCAUUAUAUAUACAUGUUGAAAACAUAUGUGUAUGCACGUGUGUGUGUGUUAAAUAAUACAGAUAGGUAUGCAUGCACACCCAGGCAGCAAGCUGGCAGAAUCGUUAGCACGCCGGGCGAAAUGCGUAGCCGUAUUUCGUCUGCCGUUACGUUCUGAGCUCAAAUUCCGCCGAGGUCGACUUUGCCUUUCAUCCUUACGGGGUCGAUUAAAUAAGUACCAGUUACGCACUGGGGUCGAUAUAAUCGACUUAAUCCAUUUGUCCUCUCUGUGUUUACCCCUUGUGAGUAGUAAAGAAAUCGGUAUGCAUGCACACACACACACACAUGAUAAGGCUUUGGUGGAACCAAAAUAUAUUUUGUUGGAACUAUGGCUAUGGAUUAAACUUAUUAAAACUCAAAUAUUUAUCAUGGAAUUCUUUGAGCUUGAUAAUCCGAGAAUACUCCACACACACAUCAUCAUCAUUUAACAUUUGUUGUCCAUGCUGACAUGGGUUGGUCACUUUGACAAGAGCUGGCAAGGCCAAGAGCCACACAAGGCUCCAUUGUUUUCGUAUUGUUUCUACUGCUUGAUGUCCUUCCUAAUGCUAACCAUUUUACAAAGUGUUCUGGGUGCAUUUUACAUGACACCACCACCAGUGCUUCUAAUGUGACACUAGCACCAGUGCCUCUAAUGUGACACCAGCACCAGUGCUUCUAAUGUGACACCAGCACCAGUGCUUCUAAUGUGACACUAGCACCAGUGCUUCUAAUGUGACACUAGCACCAGUGCCUCUAAUGUGACACUAGCACCAGUGCCUCUAAUGUGACACUAGCACCAGUGCCUCUAAUGUGACACUAGCACCAGUGCUUCUAAUGUGACACCAGCACCAGUGCUUCUAAUGUGACACUAGCACCAGUGCUUCUAAUGUGACACUAGCACCAGUGCCUCUAAUGUGACACUAGCACCAGUGCUUCUAAUGUGACACCAGCACCAGUGCUUCUAAUGUGACACUAGCACCAGUGCUUCUAAUGUGACACUAGCACCAGUGCCUCUAAUGUGACACUAGCACCAGUGCCUCUAAUGUGACACCAGCACCAGUGCUUCUAAUGUGACACUAGCACCAGUGCUUCUAAUGUGACACUAGCACCAGUGUCUCUAAUGUGACACUAGCACCAGUGCCUCUAAUGUGACACCAGCACCAGUGCUUCUAAUGUGACACUAGCACCAGUGCUUCUAAUGUGACACUAGCACCAGUGCUUCUAAUGUGACACUAGCACCAGUGCCUCUAAUGUGACACUAGCACCAGUGCUUCUAAUGUGACACUAGCACCAGUGCUUCUAAUGUGACACUAGCACCAGUGCCUCUAAUGUGACACUAGCACCAGUGCCUCUAAUGUGACACCAGCACCAGUGCUUCUAAUGUGACACUAGCACCAGUGCUUCUAAUGUGACACUAGCACCAGUGCCUCUAAUGUGACACUAGCACCAUUGCCUCUAAUGUGACACCAGCACCAGUGCUUCUAAUGUGACACUAGCACCAGUGCCUCUAAUGUGACACUAGCACCAGUGCUUCUAAUGUGACACCAGCACCAGUGCUUCUAAUGUGACACUAGCACCAGUGCUUCUAAUGUGACACUAGCACCAGUGCUUCUAAUGUGACACUAGCACCAGUGCUUCUAAUGUGACACCAGCACCAGUGCUUCUAAUGUGACACUAGCACCAGUGUCUCUAAUGUGACACUAGCACCAGUGCUUCUAAUGUGACACCAGCACCAGUGCUUCUAAUGUGACACUAGCACCAGUGCUUCUAAUGUGACACUAGCACCAAUGCUUCUAAUGUGACACUAGCACCAAUGCUUCUAAUGUGACACCAGCACCAGUGCUUCUAAUGUGACACCAGCACCAGUGCUUCUAAUGUGACACUAGCACCAGUGCUUCUAAUGUGACACUAGCACCAGUGCUUCUAAUGUGACACUAGCACCAGUGCUUCUAAUGUGACACUAGCACCAGUGCUUCUAAUGUGACACUAGCACCAGUGCUUCUAAUGUGACACCAGCACCAGUGCUUCUAAUGUGACACCAGCACCAGUGCUUCUAAUGUGACACUAGCACCAGUGCUUCUAAUGUGACACUAGCACCAAUGCUUCUAAUGUGACACCAGCACCAGUGCUUCUAAUGUGACACUAGCACCAGUGCCUCUAAUGUGACACUAGCACCAAUGCUUCUAAUGUGACACCAGCACCAGUGCUUCUAAUGUGACACUAGCACGAGUGCUUCUAAUGUGACACUAGCACCAAUGCUUCUAAUGUGACACUAGCACCAGUGCUUCUAAUGUGACACUAGCACCAGUGCUUCUAAUGUGACACUAGCACCAAUGCUUCUAAUGUGACACUAGCACGAGUGCUUCUAAUGUGACACUAGCACCAGUGCUUCUAAUGUGACACUAGCACCAGUGCCUCUAAUGUGACACUAGCACCAAUGCUUCUAAUGUGACACCAGCACCAAUGCUUCUAAUGUGACACCAGCACCAGUGCUUCUAAUGUGACACCAGCACCAGUGCUUCUAAUGUGACACUAGCACCAGUGCUUCUAAUGUGACACUAGCACCAGUGCUUCUAAUGUGACACUAGCACCAUUGCUUCUAAUGUGACACCAGCACCAGUGCUUCUAAUGUGACACUAGCACCAGUGCUUCUAAUGUGACACUAGCACCAGUGCUUCUAAUGUGACAGUAGCACCAAUGCUUCUAAUGUGACACUAGCACCAAUGCUUCUAAUGUGACACCAGCACCAGUGCUUCUAAUGUGACACCAGCACCAGUGCUUCUAAUGUGACACUAGCACCAGUGCUUCUAAUGUGACACUAGCACCAAUGCUUCUAAUGUGACACCAGCACCAGUGCUUCUAAUGUGACACUAGCACCAGUGCCUCUAAUGUGACACUAGCACCAAUGCUUCUAAUGUGACACCAGCACCAGUGCUUCUAAUGUGACACUAGCACCAGUGCUUCUAAUGUGACACUAGCACCAAUGCUUCUAAUGUGACACUAGCACCAAUGCUUCUAAUGUGACACCAGCACCAGUGCUUCUAAUGUGACACAAGCACCAGUGCUUCUAAUGUGACACUAGCACCAGUGCUUCUAAUGUGACACUAGCACCAGUGCUUCUAAUGUGACACUAGCACCAAUGCUUCUAAUGUGACACCAGCACCAGUGCUUCUAAUGUGACACUAGCACCAGUGCUUCUAAUGUGACACUAGCACCAAUGCUUCUAAUGUGACACCAGCACCAGUGCUUCUAAUGUGACACUAGCACCAGUGCCUCUAAUGUGACACUAGCACCAGUGCCUCUAAUGUGACACUAGCACCAGUGCUUCUAAUGUGACACUAGCACCAGUGCUUCUAAUGUGACACUAGCACCAGUGCCUCUAAUGUGACACUAGCACCAGUGCCUCUAAUGUGACACUAGCACCAGUGCCUCUAAUGUGACACUAGCACCAGUGCUUCUAAUGUGACACUAGCACCAGUGCCUCUAAUGUGACACUAGCACCAGUGCCUCUAAUGUGACACCAGCACCAGUGCUUCUAAUGUGACACUAGCACCAGUGUUUUUAAUGUGACACUAGCACCAGUGCUUCUAAUGUGACACCAGCACCAGUGCUUCUAAUGUGACACUAGCACCAGUGCUUCUAAUGUGACACUAGCACCAGUGCCUCUAAUGUGACACUAGCACCAAUGCUUCUAAUGUGACACCAGCACCAGUGCUUCUAAUGUGACACUAGCACCAGUGCCUCUAAUGUGACACUAGCACCAGUGCUUCUAAUGUGACACUAGCACCAGUGCUUCUAAUGUGACACUAGCACCAGUGCCUCUAAUGUGACACUAGCACCAGUGCCUCUAAUGUGACACUAGCACCAGUGCCUCUAAUGUGACACUAGCACCAGUGCCUCUAAUGUGACACUAGCACCAGUGCCUCUAAUGUGACACUAGCACCAGUGCCUCUAAUGUGACACUAGCACCAGUGCUUCUAAUGUGACACCAGCACCAGUGCUUCUAAUGUGACACUAGCACCAGUGCUUCUAAUGUGACACUAGCACCAGUGCCUCUAAUGUGACACCAGCACCAGUGCUUCUAAUGUGACACUAGCACCAGUGCUUCUAAUGUGACACUAGCACCAGUGCUUCUAAUGUGACACCAGCACCAGUGCUUCUAAUGUGACACUAGCACCAGUGCUUCUAAUGUGACACUAGCACCAGUGCCUCUAAUGUGACACUAGCACCAGUGCCUCUAAUGUGACACUAGCACCAGUGCUUCUAAUGUGACACCAGCACCAGUGCUUCUAAUGUGACACCAGCCCCAACAGGGUCACCAAGUACCUUGCAUGGCAAAAAUGACUAAAAACCGGUAGGGAGGGUUUUUUAUUGAAGGGAAUGGCUUCAUGCCAGUUGAGAAAUUAAUGCUUUAUAAUUUGCCAAAAUGUUAUGUGUUUUGACAAAUUACUGUUAGGAUUACAUAAUUACUUUUUGAAGUAUUAUACAGUCUUGUUAAAACACCUCUUCAGUAAUUUUUCUAUAAACACAAAAAAGGUGUUUUAAGGAGAUUAUAUAGUUUUUCAGUAUACAAUUAUAUAGUCCUGGCAGUAAACUAGUGAAACAUCAUCAUCGUCAUCAGCAUCAUCAUCAUCAACAUCAUCAUCAUCAUCAUCGUUUAACGUCCGCUUUCCAUGCUAGCAUGGGUUGGACGAUUUUGACUGAGGGCUGGCGAACCAGAUGGCCGCACCAGGCUCCAAUCUUGAUCUGGCAGAGUUUCUACAGCUGGAUGCCCUUCCUAACACCAACCACUCCGAGAGUGUAGUGGGUGCUUUUUACGCGCCACCGGCACGGGGGCCAGUCAGGCUGUACUGGCAACGUUUAUAUUUUAGAAAGCACAAAUUAGCAUAUGUAUUUUCUGUGUUUUACUAAUACAUUUACGUAGAUCAUUUUCUGCACAAAUCCUAUGCUGUGGUUUGAACCUCUAUGCUGUAAUGCACUGGAUAUAUGAGUGGCAUGUGGGAUCUAAUUACUGAGCUUGAACUCUGGUUAUAUGCCACACUUUGCAGGACAUAUAUAUAUAUAUAUAUAUAUAUGUGUGUGUGUGUGUGUGUUGCCUCUGUGCCGGUGGCACGUAAAAAGCACCAUCCGAUUGUGGCCGUUUCCCAGCCUCGCCUGACCUCCGUGCCGGUGGCAUGUAAAAAGCACCCACUAUACUCAUGGAGUGGUUGGCGUUAGGAAGGGCAUCCAGCCAUAGAAACAUUGCCAGAUCAGACUGGGCCUGGUGCAGCCUUCUGGCUUCCCAGACCCAGUUGAACCGUCCAACCCAUGCCAGCAUGGAAAGCGGACGCUAAAAGAUGAUGAUGAUAUAUAUAUAUAUAUACUUAGCCCAUUAGUAACACUUUCAUGUGAUUAGAGAAAAAGAGGAAGAAAAAAAUACAAUGGAGAGAGAAAAAGAGGACAAGGCGAAGAGUGAGACAGAAAGAGCGAGAGAUAGGAAAGACAGAGAGAGGAAAAGAGUGUCCAUAAGGUUUUGUAGGAGGAACAUAAUAUUUAUUACAUGGUUACAGAAGUUAGUUGAAGGUUGUGAUAUAGAGAAAGAGAGUUAGAAAUAUAAUAUUAGCAGAGGGGUGAUGUUCUGAUGGUGAGGUUAAAGAAAAGCAGAGAGAGGAGGAGAGAGAGAUAUGGUGGUGUUGGUGGUGGUGAGUGGACUGUGAAAGUAUAUUUUUUUUUGUAAUUGAACUAAGUUUUUUUAUUCACCUAUCACUUAACAUAUGUGCAUAAAUGCAAUUCUGUGAAAUAUUUAUGUGGCAGAAUUUAUGCAGUUUAACUAAAGGUUGUAUCAUAUGUACAGAAUAUUUUUUUUUAUGGAAAAAAUGGAAAAAUAAAAGUGAAAAUUUUUUUGAUGAGUGCUGUGUAUUAAGUAUAUAAAAUUGUAUAUAAAGUAUAUAAAGUGCAUUAAGUAAUCAUCGUAUUCCAAUUUCUUUCACUUUUCAAUGAGUAGCAGAUGUGUGACUACCUUUCUAUAAAGAUACAGCACAGACUACGCUUUCAGGUUUUUGGGAUAAAGUUUUCAGAAAUUUAUUCCAGGAUAUUUGUACCCCUAGGCCACCAGUGAUCCACGACAAAGUUAUGGUGGUUCACAGCCAAUCUAAUAUCCUACCAUGUUGUAGCUUAAUGCAGUUAAAAGUUAAUUUAUAUUUGGUAUUCUUUGAAGUUCUCUUCAAUAAUUUUGUGGAACAUCUGUAAAAUAUUGUGCAUCACUCUCUUAGGAGACAAUCUGAAUAGCAUCAAUAAAAUAACUUUUCCAUUUGAUUCUUUAUCUUUGUGUGUGUGUGUGUGUGUCUGUCUGUGUGUCUUUGUCCUCGGUGUUUCUGUCCUAAAUAACUAUGUAUUUCAAUAUGUCCUUAGGGGAAAACUAUGCCUGAGUUGUAUGAACUGGUUAUGAAUUACAAACCUGAUGUAAUUUGGUCAGAUGGUGAUGGGGAAGCGCCAGAUAAGUACUGGAAUUCAACAGAGUUUAUUGCAUGGCUCUAUAAUGACAGGUUUUUAUUAUUUAUUAUUAUUAUUAUUGUUGUUGUUGUUAUUAUACACACUACAGAUUAAACUGUUGGAAAAGAAGAAUUCCUAACAUCAGGCUACAACAAGUAACCUUAGAUGCCAAGAACCCUCCUUAGUAUCCUAACUGUCCCAAAUGACACUGUUUUUUGGAGCUGUACUAAACUGGCUUUUAUGCCUAUUUUCUCUGUCCAUCUGCUCAAAUCUUUAAGGAUACUUCCCAAUGUACCUAUAACUACUGGGAUACAUUUUGCCUGCACUUUUCAUAAUCUCUGUAAUUCAGUGGCUAGAUCCAGGGACUUUGCUAUUUUUUCAUCAUUUGAGAUUGUAAAGUUAAUUAUCUGACACUUUCUAUUCUCCUUAUCUACUACUACUACUACCAAAUCAGGCCUUCUAGCUUCUAUUACUCUAUCAAUCUUAAUGUUAAAGCCCCACAAUUUCUUGUAUUUCUUACUUUCUAGUACUUUGCUAGGUUCAUGUUCAUACCAUUUAUCAGUAUGUUCAAAUCCUAGCUUUCUACAUAACUCCCAGUGGAUUACUCUCCCUAGAUUGUCAUCUAUUUUCUAGCAUUCUUUCUGUGCCAGCAUGCUACAUUCACUUACUAUAUGAGUAACACUUUCCUCUUUUGAUUUGCAUAACCCACAUUGGGAAUCUACAUGGUUUUUGUAUAUCUUAACUUAUAUCCAAUUAGUUCUUAAUGCUUGAUCUUGUGCUGCUACUAACAAAGUUUCUGUCUCCCUUUUCAGCAUUCCUUUCUGCAACCAUAACCAUGUCUCACUAACUACUAUUUGCUGCAACUGUAUUUGGGAAUCUACCAUACAAUGCCUUCUCCUGCCAUCAGAUAAUUUCUGUUCUUUCUUCUGGUUUUUAACUUUGGGUUUUUGGUUUCCCUAAGUCUUGCUGUAAUUCUAGCAGCUUUUAAUAAACUUUCUUCAAUAUUUCCUACACAGGAGUCUAUAUCUACUCUAGCUAACUCCAUGCAGUCUUCUACUGAUAUUAACCCUCUUCUGCCUUCCUUUCUAGAUAAGUAUAAUCUUGAUACUCCUGCUCUUAGGUGGAGUCCUCAUUUCAUAUUGAAUUCCUUCCUAGUUCUUCUGUCUAGCUUUGCUAAUUCAGUUUUUGUCCAAUCUACAAAAGCUGCUGAGUAUCUAAGUAAUGAUACUGCCCAAGUAUUUACAACCUUCACUAGCUUCGGACCAUUUAGCUAAUUGUUGUUGUUGUUGCUGUUGGCACUGCUGCUGCUACUAUUUGAUGAAAACUCACAGCUUAUUUUGCAGGGUACGAUGGAAAGUGUCAGCUGUUCCCAACAAGCAGACUAAGGUGACACUUGUAUACUGUUCAUGCUUCAAGAAACUUGCUCUUUACUCUUUUACUUGUUUCAGUCAUUUGACUGUGGCCAUGCUGGAGUACCGCCUUUAGUCAAGCAAAUCGACCCUAGGACUUAUUCUUCGUAAGCCUAGUACUUAUUCUAUCGAUCUCUUUUGCCGAACUGUUAAGUUACGGGGACGUAAACACACCAGCAUCAGUUGUCAAGCGAUGUUGGGGGAACAAACACAGACACACAAACAUACACACAUACAUAUAUAUGUAUAUACGACGGGCUUCUUUCAAUUUCCAUCUACCAAAUCCACUCACAAGGCUUUGGUCGGGCCAAAGCUAUAGUAGAAGACAUUUGCCCAAGGUGCCACGCAGUGGGACUGAACCCAGAACCAUGUGGUUGGUAAGCAAGCUACUUACCACACUGCCACUCGUGCGCCUAUGUGAAGAAUUCUUGCAAUUCCAAGCAAUGCUGAUUUUUCUAGGAGUUCCAGUCUUUUUGAGCCAUGCUGGUAGUUGAAUGCCGAUACUUCCAAACAUGCUAAUUACUUCUGACAUCACAUCUACUCUCCUCAUUGAACACAACCUUCAUAUUUCCCCACUUCAAAUCAUCACAUUUGUUUAGUUUUUCUUCUUCUUUCUCUUUGAUCCUGUGUUACCAAGACAUGCUAUGUUGAUUAUCAUGCAUGUUCUUUCUUUUUCAUUCACCACAACAGUAUCCAGUUUCUGAUGUCUGGUCAGGUGAUCACUCUGAAUCAUUGCAUCCCACAGAAUUUUGCAAUCUUCAUUCUUGGCAACUCCUUCUGAGGUUUGCUCAUACCAUGUCUUUGCUCUUUGUAGGCUGUAAUUUCCACAGAGCUCCCAACAGAUCAUCCUUGCUACAUUGUCAUGUCGUCUUUGGUAAUCGCAUUGUGCCAAUUUCAGGCAUUUGCUAACGAUGUGCCAUACCAUUUCACUCCUCUCACCACACAUUCUGUAUUUGUUGCUGUCAGUAGUGUUGUUGAUUCUGCACUUCACAUAGUUAGUCCUUAAUGCUUGUUCUUGAGCUGCACAUAUAAGUGCUUCUGUCUCUAUAUUCAGGUCACUCCUCCUCUUCCACAGCCACCGGUCUUCUGUAUAUCUUCAUAUCUCUUGCAAACUGACUACGGUUUUUUUUUAUCUCCUUCCAUGUUUCAUUUUUGUGUUUUUUUCCUCUUUAAAUUUUUCUUUCUUUACACAAUUAUCAAUUUUGAUGAUACUGGACUUCUUCAUAUGUUUCAGCAAUGGUUCCACAGUAUUUUUUACAUACCACUCUAAGCUGUUUUCCUCUGCUUCAAUACAGUCCUGACAACUGAUCUAAUCUCUCUCACCCUUUCUUCUGGACAAGUACAGCCCAUUGGUGUCACUCACAGGGUGGAAGGCGCUGUGCAUUGUCAAUAUUUUUCUCAUCUUCAUAUCCAUGUUCAUCAGUUUUUUUUUUUUUUGCUAGUUGACAAUUCCAUUUUCAUUCCAAAGUGAUGCUAUCACCCAUGUAUUCACUGUCUGGAUUUUAUUCCAUCUGGUCAGUUUGGAGUGCAAAAUCCAAUCUUAGUCUUCAGAAAUAUUCCGUCCACAAUUUUUCUUUCAUUUCCUUCUCCAUGAUUUCAUUGAACUGCAGUAGACCAAGAGAUCUGCAGCCUUCCAUUUCAAUUUGUUUAAUCAGUUCUCUAUUAGGUAAUUCUAACCCUGCCAGGGACUGUACCAGAAAUAUUCCAUUCAAAGUUGUUCUUUCAUUUCCUUUCCCAUUAUCUCAUUGAAUUCUAGAAUGCCAAGAUAUUUGUAGCCUUCCACUUCAAUUUGCUUAAUCGGUUCUCUAAUUAGGUAAUUCUGUCCCUGCUAGGGACUGUACCUUGCCUCUUUUCAGGUACAUUCCACUACACUUCAUUCCACUACACUUCUGUACAUGACCUGCCUUGACCUAGUUCAUCUGGCUGUAAGGUUAGUUCAAGGUGGUUUAAAUCCUUGCUGUAAGCAAUGUUACCCCUAACCCACCCACCUGUAUAGACCAAUAAGGUAGUCUGCUAAGGCGGCAGGGUCCUUGCUCCCCUGGUUUGGGGCUUGGAGUAUUCCUUCUCCUAGGCUAAUGAGUACAGCCUACCCAGAGCACUGGUUAUCUGUUCUAAUAUCAGUACUAAAACUGUGAACUGUGUUCACCAAAGAACUCAUUUUGCCAUACAGCUUCAAAUCAUCCAUGAAGAGGAUGUGGUUGGUUGAUUGAGGUUUUCCCUUUAGCUGAUAUCUCAGGUUCAUUUUCCUAAGUACCAAGGUCAGCAGGAUCAUGCAGAGAACAAAAAGCAACGGAGAUAAGCCAUUGCCUUGGAAAAUCCCUCUCCUGAUACCCAGGGUGCCCAAACUAUGUCCAUAGGCUGUCAGCUCAGUUUUCCACCCCACCAUACUUCUCUUCAGAAAAUCAGGUUACAUUCCUUGCAAUUCCAAGCAAAUCUAAGCAUUUGAAUGUGGAAUCAUAUUCUUGAAUCCUUGAAUGUGGAAUCAUCCAAGAAUCUUGGAUCCUUGAAUGUGGAAUCACAUCAUAAGCUUUGCGGUGAUCAAUCCACCACCACCACCAUCAUCAUCAUCAUCAUCAUUAUUAUUCCUGCAAGGUUGACUUUGCCUUUCAUCCUUUCAGGGUCAAUAAAAUAAAUACCAGUAAAACACUGAGGUUGAUGUAAUCGACCCAUCCCCUCCCACCAAAAAUUGCUGCCCCUGUGGCUAAAUCUGAAACCCUUAUUAUUAUUAUUAUUAUUAUUAUUAUUAUUAUUAUUAUUAUUAUCAUUAUCAUUAUUAUUGAGUGAGAGAGCAGCGCAUGCCAUCAAAGUGACACUGGGGUAAAAUAUACGAAGCCCAGUAUACCCAUCAUGACUACCCGCCUGAUAAGGGCACACUAGGCACAUGCAUCACAACCAUAUGUGCAUGACAUGGUGAUCUCAUAUCAAGAUAAACAGCAUAUGACCUUGCAGGUGGGGCCCAGUUAGAAUUAUCUUCUGGUCGAGUAACCCAUCCCGCUCAAAAGGUCCUUGAAUAAGGGUUGUUUAAGGAUGUUGAACGAAACACCCAAAUUUCCUGAGGUGAAUUAUUCAAACCCCAAAGAAUCCCUCUCAACACAUGGUUAUGAUGCUCCCCCACUACUUCUGCUCGUGAUCAGAGAUGCACAUAUCGUCAGCCACUAAGGGACAUGCUCAACUGGUUAGGGUCAAACAACUGACAAGCAAAUCUGUGGUAUUGAGCAGAAUAUUUGUUGUAGCCCGUCUUUUGUACCAAGACAAUUUUAAUAUUAUUAUUAUUAUUAUUAUUAUUAUUAUUAUUAUUAUUCAUCAUCGUUUAACGUCCGUUCUCCAUGCUAGCAUGGGUUGGACGGUUCGACCGGGGAUCUGGCAAGCCAGAAGGCUGCACCAGGCUCCAGUCUAAUCUGGCAAUGUUUCUACAGCUGGAUGCCCUUCCUAACGCCAACCACUCCGUGAGUGUAGUGGGUGCUUUUUUAAAAAAUAUAUGCAAGGGUAUGGGUAAAGGUAUUAUUAAAAAAAUGUAUGCAUAGUUGUAUGGGCCAACCUGGGGAUUAAUUAUUUGAAAUUGUUGAAUUGUAGGAGUUAAUGUUUGUGGUGAAUAGAGUGUUGUUACCUGUAAAUUUAAACAUAAACAUCCAUAUCGGAAAAUGAUGGAUUGAUUAUCGGAAAGCUUAUGAUUUGAUUCCACAUUCAAGGAUUAUUGAGUGCUUAGAUUUGUUUGGAAUUGCGAGGAAUGUAACCUGUUUUUGGUGUGAUGGGAUAAACAAUAUGCAGUGGGAAAUUCUAGAUUUUAUAGAAAUUUCAGGAAAAUUUUUUCUUAUUUCCAUGACAACAUUGGCAUAAUAUUUUUGUCCUGAAAGUGAAAAUAAUUUCUGUAUGUAUUUCGAAUUAAAUAUUUUUAACCGAAUUCUUACCUCACUCAUUGAUUCUGAAAUUCCUUUUUAAUUCUCUCCUCUUUCUUUAAUCUUCUUUCACUCUCUAGCUAAACUCCACCCCCGUUUCUAUCCACCCUCAUCUCUCUAAUUCACCCUCAUCUUUCUCUCUUGCUCUAUUCCACCACCAUCCCUGCUUCAACCUUAAUUUAACCAUUCCCUACCUCUCAAGUGCAUCUUCUUUUACGUGAUUCUUUGAUACAUAAAAUACCUUUAACGAUCUUAAAUUUUCCUCCAUUUCCCUGCCUUUCUUUUCAGUCCAGUGAAAGACACUGUUGUGGUAAAUGACCGAUGGGGAGCUGGAAUUUCUUGUCACCAUGGAGACUUUUACACAUGCCAUGAUAGAUAUAAUCCUGGUGAGUACAAAAUACCAAAUGACUGAUAUAUAGAAAGAUAGUUAUAUGCUACUUGGAACAUGUUUUUGUCUGUUAAAAUGGUGAGAUGGUGCUUGAAAAAGUUUUUAACCCUUUAGCAUUUAAACUGGCCAUAUCCAGCCAAAAAUAUUCUGCCUGUUUUAUGUUCAAACUGGCCAUAUCUGGUCUCUCACACCAACCCUACAAUAUCGUUUUAAAAAUUAACAGCUACCUCAUCAAAAUCUCAAAGCUACAAGAUAAAGCAGAUUUACUCAAAACAAUGUAGAUGAAGAAGUAUUAAUUUUGACAGAAUAAUGCGAACACUAAAGGGUUAAGGUUAAUUCUUUAAGCAACAUGGUUUCCAGGGCAGGUAUAUAACAGCAUUUUGUGUAACAUUUAAGCAGUUGAGAGACCAAUCUUUUUCUGUACAUGAUGCCAGCCUGUUGAAAAUUACUACAAGUGUAGUAAUUGUGACCCAGCAUCAGAUGUUAUUAACUACAACUGAUGUGUGGGAUCCUGUUAAACUAGUCUCAACUUUGAUUGGAAUCAAGUAGAUUUGAGGCCGUGUAUAACAGGAUCACUGCACAUCAGUUAUCGGUUCAAAGCUGACGAAAUAAACUGUGACAUGCAUUCAGUUUGAAUCGAUCUGUUUGACAUGAACUUGCUUUCACCCCCCAAAAUCGAAGAAAUAAACUGACAUGAACUCUAAUUGAGUCAAUCUUUAUUGUUGACGAUAAUAAGCUGACAAAAUUUGAUCUUCAGUGUUGAAGAGGUAAGCUGUGACAUGAGCUUGGCUUAACUUAAUCUUCUCCAAAAUUGAAGAGAGAAAACUGAUGAAAAAGAAAAUACAUUAUUCUGAUUGUUAACCUCAUGUUUUCUACUUAAAGCUUAAAACAAGAUUUCAGAGUUAAAAAAAGGUUUAAAUAAUUUCAUUAUCCUCCAUUUAUUAUUUCAUGCCAUAUAUAAAUGCUGACACCACCACAACAAUACCACACCCACAUAUACCCUACUAAAACUACCCUACCAGUGGUGAGCCAAUGGAAGAUGCCUCAGCCCAGUUCCUUGAACAAGUCUGCUUUAAACCCCAAUGUAUCAUCACAAAAAAGAGAAGAUACAUUAAUUUACUUUGAUCUGGAGAUAAUUAUCAGUAAACCUUUUUCUUCUUCCAAAUGUUGUUCAUCCAGGUAAAUUGGUAAAUCACAAAUGGGAGAAUGCCAUGACUAUUGAUAAGCAUUCCUGGGGCUACCGGCGCCGUGCUCGCUACUCUGACUAUUAUUCCAUUGAAGGGCUGAUAUCUCUACUGGUUGAGACUGUCAGGUUAGUACUAACUUUGUUUGGUAUCUUUUAUUGUAUUUUUGUGGAUUGAAAGAUUUGUUGGGGGAUCACUCAGAAUGCCUAACACUAGUCUGUUAUAUACCUUGUUUCUUUUGAAUUCAAAUACAGUUUAUUUUACAUCAGUUUCAAGGGUGAAAGGAAUUAAAGUACCAGUUAAGCACUGGGGUUGAUUUAAUCAGCUAUUCCUACCACCAUUAUUAGAAGCCUUGUGUUUCAUCAUCAUCAUCAUCAUCGUUUAGCGUCCGCUUUCCAUGCUGGCAUGGGUUGGACGGUUCAACUGGGGUCUGGGAGGCCAGGAGGCUGCACCAGGCCCAGUCUGAUCUGGCAAUGUUUCUACGGCUGGAUGCCCUUCCUAACGCCAACCACUCCGUGAAUGUAGUGGGUGCUUUUUACGUGCCACCUGCACAGGUGCCAGACGAGGCUGGCAAAUGGCCACGGUCGGACUGGUGCUUUUUACGUGCCACCGGCACGGGGGCCAGGCGAGGCUGGCAACGGCCACUUAAAAAAACAAGAUUUUAGUUUGUUGUUCUACGUUCUUGCUUGGAGAGAUCAAGGAUUGGUGGAUGCAGUGACAAGCUGCAACAGUGCACACUUCCGUACAUGACCUGCCUUGACCUAGUUCAGCUGGCUGUAAGGUUAGUUCAAGGUGGUUUAAAUCCUUGCUGUAAGCAAUGUUACCCCUAACCCACCCACCUGUAUAGACCAAUAAGGUAGUCUGCCAAAGCGGCAGGGUCCUUGCUCCCCUGGUUUGGGGCUUGGAGUAUUCCUUCUAGGCUAAUGAGUACAGCCAAGGCUAAUGAGUGCAGCCAAGGCUAAUGAGUACAGCCAAGGCUAAUGAGUGCAGCCAAGGCUAAUGAGUACAGCCUACUCAGAGCACUGGUUAUUUGUAAGUGCCAGAUACUCGCCUUUUCUCACACUUUUGUUGAUUUCGUGAAGGAGCCAGGCUUGACUGUCAGGAGACAGGUUGUCGCCACUGUGACUAAGGAGUCCUACCUACCCUAAUUUUUAAAUCAGAGUAUUCCUUCUAGACAGACUGCCAACCAAGGCUCACAAGUUCUGUCUACCUGUUUUCGGAAUGGCCAUUGACUCUUUUAAGUUCCUCUGCGCUUUGCCAGGUUUUGUUUUUAAUCCCACAUAUUAUUAUUAUUAUUAUUAUUACUGGUAGUUUACUUACUAAUGCUGUUAUUGAUUGUAUCAACUAAUUAAUUCUUAGCUGUGGAGGAAAUCUUCUUAUGAAUGUUGGACCCACUCAUGAUGGACGUAUUGAUCCGCUGUUUGAAGAGAGAUUGCUCCAAGUUGGUCAAUGGCUCAAAGUCAAUGGAGAGGCCAUCUAUGCCAGCAGACCUUGGACCUACCAGAACGACACAUAUACAAAGAAAGUUUGGUAAGAAUAUUUGCUUCCAUUAUCUUCGUUUGUCUGAAAUAUUUCAGAUAUUGUUGCUGACAUCGUGUACCUUGAAAAACAUUUACCAACAUGCCCUUCAUUUUUUAUAAGAAAGUAGAUACAUUUGGCUACUAUUUCUAGAACAUCAAUCACCAAUGUAGUGACUCCCUUGUUUGGAUCACUUCACAAAUAGUUUACUCGGCGUCUAUGUAUGUAUAUGUGUAUGAGUGUGCAUAUAGGUAUCUGCAUAUCUCUGCAUGUGUGUGUAUGCAUGUAUACAGGGUGUGUCUAUCUGUCUGUCUACAUCACCACCCACAUUCGACGCUUGCAAAGUUUGUUAUAAAAUGUUGUCACAUUUAAAAAAAACUGUAAUUUAGCAUUAAAAAUUGGUGGUAAUUGUUGUCAAGGGUCAUUUGGCUUAAUGGUAGAAGCUCUCAGCCAGUAUCUGAGGGAUACAGGUUCGAAUCCCAUAACUGCCUGCUAGCAACUUUUUUUCUCUUUCUUAUAAGGGGUAAAUACUCAAUCUUCCUCUGCUGUUCUUACAGCUUUACUGCAUUCAAAAUUUACUUUCUUCUCUGUAAACUAUAUACAUAUGCAUAUAUGUAUGAAUAGAUCAUUGCUCCAUGCCAUUAUCUGGUUUUCUUGUUUUACCAUUUCUCUCCCCUCCAGGUACACCAGUAAAAUGGAGAACAACACAAAAGUUGUGUAUGCUGCGAUGUUGUUUUGGCCAAAUACUAAUAUUGUCAUCCUUGGAGCUGUAAAACCAACGUCAAGAACAGUUGUCUACAUGCUUGGUUAUCCAAAGCCAAUUGGAUACAGUUACUAUGCUACGACUGGGUUUCAAAUUGACCUACCCAACAUCCCUAUAUCGAGCUUACCAUGUGACUGGGCAUGGGUGUUUAAAAUUACAAACCUUGAGGAAUAAAUUUACUCUCUCUUUCUCUCUCUCUCUUAGAAAAAACAUAAGCAUAUUUCUAUUUUUGGUCAAAUUCUAAUUUUAAAGGAAGAAAAAUUUAAUUACUGAAACUUAACUUUUGGAUGAAUUUUAUUAUGUUAAAUGGAAA
rnacentral:lncRNA from 1 species